ensembl:lincRNA
GUGGGGCCGCUCUUGCCAUCCUGGGAUCCUCCUCUCAAUUUCCCCUUCGAUUCGCCUUCUACAUCCUGCCAGGGUGGAACCCGGCGCGCGGUCUUCCCUGCAGCCCCUCCGUCUGGCGAAGACUUGGGAGCUGCUUGCUUGCUUGUGAACUUUACAUGGCGUGACCCUGCCUUUCACCCUCGGUAGCUUCUGCGAACGUCUGCACGUCUGCGUCAGCCUUCCCAAAGGCCUGUCUCUGACACUCAGGUGAUCUUCUGGGAACGUGUGGUUUGCCAUGGUGUGGGCUGCCUUCCUCCUGCACUGCCAAUGGAAGAUGACCUGCCCAGCCUUGUUUCUUCGGGGGAAGGUGGAAUAGCUGCCUCACGUUAUUUUUAUCGAUUUCGUGGGAUCAGGCCUCCCGCAAGAUGUGUAUUUUAUUCUCUCCCGAGAAGAAGUGGAGGUCUCCAAUCGCUGGGCACAGAAGGAGACAGAAAAGGAAGGGAGGGGUGCUCACGUUCAGGGGAAGUUGCUCAGAAAUGGGCUCCUGUGGGGGCUGCUGAACCACGGCCCCAGGAGAAAGAGGCCUGGGGGGCCUGCCUCCCUUCCUGGAAGACCGGUGACCUUCAUAGAGGUGGUCACAGAAGGGUCUGGGCCAGGAGCUCAAGGAGCCUUCAGGUAGGAGAUUUCGCUCACGUGUAUUCAGCUGCAAAAGGAAAAACAAGCAAAGUGAAAGACUCCCCAUAACUACGAUGAGCUCCAGCAACAAUGUGUGCAAAGCCCUGGAAUCCACAGCGCAUCACAGCCCUGUCCUGUUUAGGGCCAAAGGAAGAGGCAGUGACCGAGCAGCUUUCUUGACAAAGUCACAGCCUACCGUGGGAGCCUUGCUAGACUCUGUUCCUCGAGUCAUCUGGAGCAGUGUGACUGUGUUUCUUUCCCAUUUCUGUAAAUUGCUCACAAAAUGCAAAAAUGGCUUUGGAGCCAUGGCAUGGCUUACGAAACUCAGUCAAAAUUUGCAUCUUUUCUCUACAUUUUUCUAUAGCAAUUCUUUAUUGAAUGAUCAGUGUGGGUUUUCUGAGGAAAUAUAACCUCUGAGUCUGGGCUGGAAAUGAGUGGCAGUCACCGUGGGAGUCCUGGCGGUGGAAGUACUGCGUGGACGUGGAAGUACCGUGUGGACGUGGAACUCCCACUAACGUGCAGGAUACUUCCGACGUGUUGAUGUCUUCACCCAUUGGUUCUUUGACACUUCAAUAAUGUGAAACUAAAGAAACAACUUGACUUAAAAUUUGGGGGAGAGUUAAAAUCCCAUCUGGAUGAUUUUUAUUAUUAAUUCAAUUGAAUUCUCUAAUAUUCUUUGUUGGCUUAUGGGAAGUUGGAUUGAUAGAAAUCUGGGGUUGGGAUGUAAUAUUGAGGUUUCUUGAUCAAAAAGCCUUGAAGAAAUUAAAGUUCGAUAUUAAAGUUUUCUGUGAUACAAAGUGAAUUAAUGACUCCAGUGUCCAGACAGUGGGAGAGCAGGGACGUUUGUAACAAUUGUAACAGAUUUGUACAGGAGUCUGCCUGCUCUCCUUCACAACUUUGUGAAUUGUCUGAAUUUCUUUCUCUGGUGCCAGAUGUUCUGUUUAUGUUUAUUCUUUUAUUUUUACUUGCUUUGUAAAACCGUAGAGAACACAAUUUCAGGGUGAGCCACACACUACUAC